rnacentral:rRNA from 1 species
UACGUAGGGUGCAAGCGUUAAUCGGAAUUACUGGGCGUAAAGCGUGCGCAGGCGGUUUUGUAAGUCUGACGCGAAAUCCCCGGGCUCAACCUGGGAAUUGCGUUGGAGACUGCAAGGCUAGAAUCUGGCAGAGGGGGGUAGAAUUCCACGUGUAGCAGUGAAAUGCGUAGAGAUGUGGAGGAACACCGAUGGCGAAGGCAGCCCCCUGGGUCAAGAUUGACGCUCAUGCACGAAAGCGUGGGGAGCAAACAGG